GACGAACGCUGGCGGCGUGCUUAACACAUGCAAGUCGAACGAAGAGCGAUGGAAGCUUGCUUCUAUCAAUCUUAGUGGCGAACGGGUGAGUAACGCGUAAUCAACCUGCCCUUCAGAGGGGGACAACAGUUGGAAACGACUGCUAAUACCGCAUACGAUCUAAUCUCGGCAUCGAGGAUAGAUGAAAGGUGGCCUCUACAUGUAAGCUAUCACUGGAGGAGGGGAUUGCGUCUGAUUAGCUAGUUGGAGGGGUAACGGCCCACCAAGGCGAUGAUCAGUAGCCGGUCUGAGAGGAUGAACGGCCACAUUGGGACUGAGACACGGCCCAGACUCCUACGGGAGGCAGCAGUGGGGAAUCUUCCGCAAUGGACGAAAGUCUGACGGAGCAACGCCGCGUGAGCGAUGACGGCCUUCGGGUUGUAAAGCUCUGUUAAUCGGGACGAAAGGCCUUCUUGCGAAUAGUGAGAAGGAUUGACGGUACCGGAAUAGAAAGCCACGGCUAACUACGUG
rnacentral:rRNA from 1 species